UACUAAGAUCUUGUGCAUGCA
rnacentral:piRNA from 1 species